UACGGGGGAUGCGAGCGUUAUCCGGAUUUAUUGGGUUUAAAGGGUGCGUAGGCGGACGCUUAAGUCAGCGGUAAAAUUGCGGGGCUCAACCUCGUCGAGCCGUUGAAACUGGGUGUCUUGAGUGGGCGAGAAGUACGCGGAAUGCGUGGUGUAGCGGUGAAAUGCAUAGAUAUCACGCAGAACUCCGAUUGCGAAGGCAGCGUACCGGCGCCCAACUGACGCUGAAGCACGAAGGCGUGGGUAUCGAACAGG
rnacentral:rRNA from 1 species